rnacentral:rRNA from 1 species
GACGAACGCUGGCGGCGUGCUUAACACAUGCAAGUCGAACGGAAAGGCCCUGCUUUUGUGGGGUGCUCGAGUGGCGAACGGGUGAGUAACACGUGAGCAACCUGCCCUUGACUUUGGGAUAACUUCAGGAAACUGGGGCUAAUACCGGAUAGGAGCUCCUGCUGCAUGGUGGGGGUUGGAAGGUUUCGGCGGUUGGGGAUGGACUCGCGGCUUAUCAGCUUGUUGGUGGGGUAGUGGCUUACCAAGGCUUUGACGGGUAGCCGGCCUGAGAGGGUGACCGGCCACAUUGGGACUGAGAUACGGCCCAGACUCCUACGGGAGGCAGCAGUGGGGAAUAUUGCACAAUGGGCAGAAGCCUGAUGCAGCAACGCCGCGUGCGGGAUGACGGCCUUCGGGUUGUAAACCGCUUUCGCCUGUGACGAAGCGUGAGUGACGGUAAUGGGUAAAGAAGCACCGGCUAACUACGUG